rnacentral:tRNA from 3 species
GCCCAGAUGGUGGAAUUGGUAGACACACCAGCUUGAGGGGCUGGCGCCUUCACGGGUGUGCAAGUUCGAAUCUUGUUCUGGGCACCA